AAGUCGUAACAAGGUUUCCGUAGGUGAACCUGCGGAAGGAUCAUUAAUAUAAUUUGAUACUACAAAAUAUCAUUUAACACAUACUGAAACGAAACACAGCUUUGGCGGCAUGCCGUCAAAGAUUCUAACUAAACAAAUUUAACUUGUCACACAACAACAUAAUAAAUUAAAA
rnacentral:misc_RNA from 1 species